rnacentral:misc_RNA from 1 species
CUAACUGCGAUAAGUAGCGUGAAUUGCAGACGCUUUGAACGUUAAACUUUCGAACGCACAUUGCGCCAUAGGAGUCCUACCCUAUGGCACAUCUGGUUGAGGGUCGUGAUCAAAAACAGCCAGCCAGUUGCUGUUAAUGUUUGUCCAACUGGUGGAUCACUCGUCCGGCUUACCGGCCUCUAGUCGGAAGUGGUCUGCCAUCAUGACACAGAGGACGUCAGGCCCCUUGGGGCGGACACCUACCACACGGAUGGGUUGUCGGCUGCAGAGCUGGCCCAUGCCGUCUCUUGUGCACCAUCCAUACGUACAUUAGCGUAAGUGCCUGGAGACGGUGGGGCGCGGUCCGACUCCUCCAUACGUGCAUGGUUCUUGAAAGCGUGUUAUCGCUUUCCCGACCUCAACUCAGGUGUGAUUACCCGCUGAACUUAAGC